rnacentral:lncRNA from 1 species
AAUGAGAGACAGCCCCUUUACUCCACAGCCUGCCGAAAUUAUUCAAACCAGCCAAUCUUUAAACCUCCCUACAGCUGCUCUGCCUGUUCUUUCCUGUAGAAACCACAGUAAAGUCUCUUGCCUCCAGUUCUCUCCCUUCCUUCUGCCUCGUGGCUGAUCUCAGGGCUUCCCUGUGUGGCCCCUCCUGCAGUGGCUUGUCUCCUCCUCUUGGGAACUGUGAUAUUUCUCUGAAAAGAGCAGUUUGGACUAUCUGUGAAGAGCUGCAAUAUAUUGAACUAUGUACCCAGCAACUUACUUCACUCCCUAGGAUUGUUUGGCAGCCCAGCAGAGAUAAAAUGCAUAUUUCUCACAGCAGAAAUAUGCUUUACUCUUCUGUCAUACCCAAGGAGAAUGCUGCUUGUGUCCUUCCAAGCUUGAAGAAAAGCAUUAUAUUAAGUGAAGCCUGCAUGCAAUGAUUGAACCUGUUUGAAUAAUCUCCCUGAGUUAUUUGACCUUAAUAAAUACAUAUACAGAUUUUGUAAAGGUCCCAUCGCCUAAAUCAUUCGACAGAAUUUAUUUUCUUAAACCACCAUUCUCAUUCUAUUAUUUCCUGACUCAGAACACUUAAAUGAUUCAAUUGUUCAGAGGAAAAAGCUCAAGUUACUUACUGUGGCAUUCAAGGUCUACCACUGGAAAAUUACUUUUCUAAAAAUAUUCCCACUAAUUAUCAGCAUGAAUACUUUGCUCCUACACAAUAGCCCACCCAUAGUCCCUCAGAUAAAUCUUGCUCGUGUUCACUUCUCUAUUUUUAUCUCUAUUACUUACUAUAUUUCUAUCUCUACUUCCAUCUCUACAUCUAUCUCCGUCUCUAAAUCUCUCUCUUGCUCUCUCUGUAUUCCUACACUUGAUACAUGAGUGGAUGCUCAUCUCAGACCCUUGCCGUUUCCUACUUCUUUACCUCGAGUUCCUCUAGGCUUUUUUCCUGGGUAUAUUUUUCUUCUAUUGUUAUUCUGUCUCUUUAAGCAAGUUUUCUCUUUCUGGAUCUUCAAAUAUCACCUAAAUGCUGAUGUAUCACAAAUUUAUAUUUCCAGCCAUAGCUUCACAACCGAGGUCCAGCUGCCUACUUCUUAUCUUCACUUGGAGGUCUCCCAGGUGGCUCAUCAAGGGAAAAUUUGGGCACAAAGACAAGCAUGUCCAGGGAGAAUGCCGUGUGAAGAUGAAGGCACAGAUCUAAAAGCUUAGGAGAGAUGCUUAGAACAGAUCCUUCCCUCACAGCCUUCAAAAGGAAGCAACCCUGUGGAAACAUUGAUUUUGAACUCGUAGCCUCCGUAACUAUUAGACAAUAGGGAUUUCUUUUGUUUCAGCCACCCAGUUUGUGGCACUUUGUUGUGGCAGCCCUAACAAACUAAUAAAACUUGUCUUUUUGAUUACCAGCAUUCUAGCAAGUUUGUAAAGGUAGCUGGUUGUGGUUUCGCUUUGAGUUCUCCUAACAUCUAACGGCAUUGAGAAUCUUUUCACGUGCUUAUUAGGCACUCUUAUAAUUUCUUUAGUGAAAUGUAUUCUAAAACAUUUUGCAUCUUAAAAUUGGGUUGUUUGUCCUAUUAUUGAGCUGGAUUAUUUCUUUUGUAUUCAUGAUACAAUCCUUUAUCAGAUAUGUGAUUUGUAAUUAUUUUCUUCUGGUUUGUG